AUUUGUAAUUGGAGAGUUGACAUGUAUUUUGCUCUCUUCAGGUUGCAGGUGGUGAUGGAACCGCAGGGUGGCUUCUUGGAGUUGUUUCUGAUCUCAAGUUAUCUCAUCCACCAGCAAUUGCAACAGUGCCCUUAGGAACAUGAAACAAUCUUCCAUUUGCAUUUGGCUGGGGGAAGAAAAAUCCUGGGACAGAUGAAAAUGCGGUAAAGUCAUUUUUGCGUCAAGUAAUGGAUGCUAAGGAAAUGAAAAUCGACAGCUGGCAUAUUAUGA